UUUGAUGUGUGGUUACCCUAUUUUUCAAGUAAGCUAUAUCUAUUUGCUUUAGAAUGAUAGUCAUGUAAGUUCAAAUAUAUUUUAAAAGGUUUAUACUUUUUUACUUACUUCCCCCACAUUUUGUGAUUUUUAUAUCCUGUUUACCUGUAAGCUAUAUCUAUUUGUUUUAGAAUGAUAGUCAUAUAAGUUCAAAUAUAUUUUAAAAGGUUUAUACUUUUUUACUUACUUCCCCCACAUUUUGUGAUUUUUAUAUCCUGUUUUGAUAUCCAUGUUUAUCCUUUUGCUGUCUAUUUUACUUAUAAUCACAAUUACAAAAUAUUUUGAUUGGUUUUUAAUCAAUGUAUUGGAUUACUUAAGUGAUCUUCAGUUUUUUGUAUAUUUGCCUUUUCUAUUGUAUUUUUCCCUUUCCUAUAAGGUGCUUGUUUCUUUUCUGUUUAGAGAAGACCUUUCAGUAUUCCUUUUAGCUUAGAUUUAGCAGUUCCGUAUUCUAAAAGAAUACAAGUUUUUGCUUGUCUGAGAAAUUCUUAGUUUCUCCCUGAAUUCUAAAAUAAUCUUGCUAGAUAGAGUAUCCUAGUCUUUUCAGUUUAAGGAGUUAGAAUAUGUCAUGCCACUCCCUUCUGGUCUGACAAUUUCUGUAGAGAAAUCAACUGGUAGCCUUAUGGAGGCUUACUUUUAACUUUGUUUUUCUCUUGCUUCCUUUAGAAUCCUCUCUUUAUCUUUAAAUUUUGCAAUUUUAAUUAUGAUAUGUUUUGCUGUGAUGCUGUUUGAUGAUGUCUUAUUUGGGACCCUCUGUACUUCCUGUAUGUGGAUAUAUGUUUUCUACUUUAGGUUUGGGAAGUUUUCAGCCAUUAUUUCUUCAAAUACAAUUUCAAUCCUCUUUUCUCUUUCUUCUCCUUCUGGAAUCCCUGUUACGCAUAGAAUGGCAUGCUUUAUAUUAUCCCAUAGAGCUCAUGUGUUGCUUAUAUUUUUUAUAUUUGUCUCUCUGUCUGCUUUUCUUUUGGGGUAAUUUCAUUAUUCUGUCUUCCAGAUCACUUAUUUGUUCUUGUACAUUAUUAGUAUACUAUUCAUUGCCUUUAGCUCUGUUUUUAUUUUGAAAAUUGAGUUGCCUAAUUUUUUUUGGCUUUUUUUAGGGCUGCACCUGUAACAUAUGGAGGUUCCUGGGCUAGGGGUCAAAUCGGAGCUGCAGCUGCCAGCCUACACCACAGCCACAGCAACAUAUGAUCCAAGCUGUGUCCACAAUCUACACCACAGCUCACAGCAAUGCCAGAUCCUUAACCCACUGAGCAAAGCCAGGGAUUAAACCUGCAUCCUCAUAGAUCCUAGUUGGGUUCGUUAACCACUGAGCCACGAAGGGAACUCCAAGUUAUCUCAUUUUGAGUCCUCUUUAUAGUUUCUAGUUCCUUAUUACAAUGAUCAAUGUUUCUAUUGAUAGUCUUUCUUAAUUCCUUUAUCAUUUUGAUUACCUUCUUUCUGAACUCAGGAUCUGAUAGAUUGGAGAGGUCUAUUUCAUUGUUUGUUCCUUCAGGAGAUUUCUCUUGUUCUCUUAAUGGGAGUUAUUUCCUCUGCUUUUUCAUUUUACUUAAAUAUAUCUGAAUCUAUGGAUUUAGAAGAGCUAUCUACUUUGCUCUUGAAAGGUUGGUUUUAUUUGGAAGUAUCCCUCUAAUGACUGUGUGUAUCCAAACAGAGUUUUCCCACUGAGUAUGUUCACUGAAGCCCAAGUUUCAGCCAAGCACAAGCAGGCAUGCUAGUGAAAGUGUUUCCGGGGUAAGGGAACCUUUUCUGCUUCACAGCUCCCUCCCAGGAGUGUAGAUCCCAUCAAGAUCCUUUUUAUUUAUUUAUUUUCCUUUUGUCCUAACAAGUUAUGUGGGGAUAUUUUAUGAAACUUUGGUUGCAUAAGAAAUCUGCCGGAUUUCAGUUGGUAUUCUGUGAGGAUUAUUUCACAUAUAACGCAUUUUGAUGUGCUUGUGGGGAGAAAUGAGUUCCAUGUCUUUCUACUCCACCAUCUUGAUUGCUUGCCCAAUUUCUUUUUCCUUACUUUUAAAUCUUGAAUCCAUGAUAUUCAAUGUGCUAUGUAAAUGUAAAAACAACAAGAAAAUAUAUUUUUUUCAGAGAGGGUAUAUUAUUAAUAAAGGAGAAAAAUAUAGUUGGUAAUUAUUACUGGAUUCUGCUUUAAGUAUUUGAUAUAGGUAUAUUACAACUCAGUGAUUUUUAAAAUGUUAAACCUUUAUAUUGCUCAAAUAAAACUUUAAAUUAUCCC
ensembl:lncRNA